rnacentral:rRNA from 1 species
UACAGAGGUCUCAAGCGUUGUUCGGAUUCAUUGGGCGUAAAGGGUGCGUAGGUGGCUUGGUAAGUUGAAGGUGAAAUCUCGGAGCUUAACUCCGAAACUGCCUUCAAUACUGCCGGGCUUGAGGACUGUAGAGGAGAAUGGAAUUCACGGUGUAGCAGUGAAAUGCGUAGAUAUCAGGAGGAACACCGAUGGCGAAGGCAGGUCACUGGGCCGCAACUGACGCUGAGGAGCGAAAGCAUGGGGAGCGAACAGG